UACGUAGGUGGCGAGCGUUGUCCGGAUUUACUGGGCGUAAAGGGAGCGUAGGCGGACUUUUAAGUGAGAUGUGAAAUACUCGGGCUCAACUUGCGUGCUGCAUUUCAAACUGGAAGUCUAGAGUGCAGGAGAGGAGAAUGGAAUUCCUAGUGUAGCGGUGAAAUGCGUAGAGAUUAGGAAGAACACCAGUGGCGAAGGCGAUUCUCUGGACUGUAACUGACGCUGAGGCUCGAAAGCGUGGGGAGCAAACAGG
rnacentral:rRNA from 1 species